rnacentral:rRNA from 1 species
CCGAAUUCGUCCACUACAGAGUUUGAUCCUGGCUCAGGACGAACGCUGGCGGCCUGCUUAACACAUGCAAGUCGAACGGAAAGGCCCUUUCGGGGGUACUCGAGUGGCGAACGGGUGAAUAACCAGGGGGGGGAUCGGCCUGGCCUUCGGGAAAAACUUGGGAAAAGGGGGCUCAAACACGGGAUAGAACUACGGACUGCGUGGUUGGGGGUGAAAAGCUUUUGCGGGGUGGGAUGGGCCCGCGGCCUAUCAGCUUGUUGGUGGGGUGAUGGCCUACCAAGGCGACGACGGGUAGCCGGCCUGAGAGGGUGUCCGGCCACACUGGGACUGAGAUACGGCCCAGACUCCUACGGGAGGCAGCAGUGGGGAAUAUUGCACAAUGGGCGCAAGCCUGAUGCAGCGACGCCGCGUGGGGGAUGACGGCCUUCGGGUUGUAAACCUCUUUCACCAUCGGCGAAGCCCAUGAUUUUUGUUGUGGGUGACGGUAGGUGGAGAAGAAGCACCGGCCAACUACGUGCCAGCAGCCGCGGUAAUACGUAGGGUGCGAGCGUUGUCCGGAAUUACUGGGCGUAAAGAGCUCGUAGGUGGUUUGUCGCGUUGUCCGUGAAAUUCCCUGGCUUAACUGGGGGCGUGCGGGCGAUACGGGCAGACUGGAGUACUGCAGGGGAGACUGGAAUCCCUGGUGUAGCGGUGGAAUGCGCAGAAAUCAGGGGGAACACCGGGGGCGAAGGCGGGUCUCUGGGCAGAACCUGACCCUGAGGAGCGAAAGGGUGGGGAGGGAACAGGAUUAAAUACCCUGGGAGUCCACGCCGAAACGGGGGGUACUAGGGGGGGGUUUCCUUCCUGGGAUCCGGGGCGAAAGUAAACAAUUAAUACCCCGCCUGGGGGAAACGGCCCCAGGGCAAAAUCAAAGGAAAUGGAGGGGCCCCCCCCAAGGGGGGGAAAACCGGGGUUUAAUUUCUGGGAGCCCGAAAAACCCAUUCCGGGGGUUAACACGG